rnacentral:rRNA from 1 species
UACAGAGGUCCCAAGCAUUGUUCGGAUUCAUUGGGCGUAAAGGGUGCGUAGGCGGCGCGGUAAGUCGGGUGUGAAAUCUCGGAGCUUAACUCCGAAACUGCAUUCGAUACUGCCGUGCUUGAGGACUGGAGAGGAGACUGGAAUUUACGGUGUAGCGGUGAAAUGCGCAGAUAUCAGGAGGAACACCAAUGGCGAAGGCAGCUCGCUGGAACGGUACUGACGCUGAGGCGCGAAAGCGUGGGGAGCAAACAGG